rnacentral:lncRNA from 1 species
GUGGGCAGAUGAGUCUCAGAUCUGCAGUGUAAAGAUAUUGGGGUGAAGGUGUGGGUGGUUGUUAGAGAACAACUUGCACUAAGCGUGACCAACACGAGAACCACAUAGAUGUCUACAUACUCAUCAGUGGUCUUCUCGAUGCUGUAGUGGUGUGAGUGGUCCUUUGACCUACGGUGCUAUUGGCUAUUCGCAGUGAGGCUACUGGGUUUGACUAUACGUUCCCUUGUGUAGGGAUGC